UUGGGUAGGGGAGCGUUCUGUAAGCCUGUGAAGGUGUACUGUGAGGUAUGCUGGAGGUAUCAGAAGUGCGAAUGCUGACAUAAGUAACGAUAAAGCGGGUGAAAAGCCCGCUCGCCGGAAGACCAAGGGUUCCUGUCCAACGUUAAUCGGGGCAGGGUGAGUCGACCCCUAAGGCGAGGCCGAAAGGCGUAGUCGAUGGGAAACAGGUUAAUAUUCCUGUACUUGGUGUUACUGCGAAGGGGGGACGGAGAAGGCUAUGUUGGCCGGGCGACGGUUGUCCCGGUUUAAGCGUGUAGGCUGGUUUUCCAGGCAAAUCCGGAAAAUCAAGGCCGAGGCGUGAUGACGAGGCACUACGGUGCUGAAGCAACAAAUGCCCUGCUUCCAGGAAAAGCCUCUAAGCAUCAGGUAACAUCAAAUCGUACCCCAAACCGACACAGGUGGUCAGGUAGAGAAUA
rnacentral:rRNA from 1 species